rnacentral:lncRNA from 1 species
UUAAGCUUAAAUUAGGAUUUAGAAUUUGAUUUAGGAUUUGCUUAAGAUUCAAAGUUUAGGAUUUAUUUAAAGUUUAGGAUAUAAGAUUUAGAAUUACUUAGGAUUUAAAAUUUGCUUAGGAUUUGAAAUUUUGCCUAAGAUUUGGUUGAAGUCCAUUAGGGUCCUAAUUAAGAUUAAAUUAAGACUUGAUUGAAAUUUAUUUAAGAUAUAUUUUUUAUUAUUCUAAUAUUUCUUUCAAAUUUCUUAAAGAUUCUUUUAAGAUUUAUUAUGAAUUUUUUUUAACUCCUUUAAUAUUUCUUAUUGUUUCUUUU